rnacentral:lncRNA from 1 species
CCCACGCCAUUUUGUGAUAGAAGGAUCGUCGAAAAAGCAAGAAAUGUAUACAAAAAUUUAAUAGCACAAUCCAUAUCGUUAAGAGUUCGAUACGUUCAGACGGGUGUUUAAUAGGUAUUGCGUACCAAGAUAUUUCCUUUGAUCCUCCGCGGUCAUUAAUCUGCUUGAGGGUGCCUAACUAGUCCAAGACUUCAAGCUAAACGCACCGGGGGCCGGUUUAGUAUGAUACGAUAUUUAACUGCAUGCGCAUGCAAUACUUGAAACAGAACGGGGAGAACGGACAGUCUGUCGUAGUUUCACCAAGGCCGUUGCGAAG